AUUGAACGCUGGCGGCAGGCCUAACACAUGCAAGUCGAACGAGUGGCGGACGGGUGAGUAAUGUCUGGGAAACUGCCUGAUGGAGGGGGAUAACUACUGGAAACGGUAGCUAAUACCGCAUACCAUCGGAUGUUCCCAGAUGGGAUUAGCUAGUAGGUGGGGUAAAGGCUCACCAAGGCGACGAUCCCUAGCUGGUCUGAGAGGAUGACCAGCCACACUGGAACUGAGACACGGUCCAGACUCCUACGGGAGGCAGCAGUGGGGAAUAUUGCACAAUGGGCGCAAGCCUGAUACAGCCAUGCCGCGUGUAUGAAGAAGGCCCUAGGGUUGUAAAGUACUUUCAGCGGGGAGGCGUUACCGGCAGAAGAAGCACCGGCUAACUCCGUGCCAGCAGCCGCGGUAAUUC
rnacentral:rRNA from 1 species